UGCCUCCCACAAAACUCACAGAUCUGACACGGCUCAUUUGAACAGCAAACAUUGCUGCAGGGCAGCUAUACGUGCUGCCCUUUCUCUUGUCUAGCUCUUCCCUUAACUAUAAACUUCCCAGCUACUACACCCUCUCUUCCUAACCAAACUGUAAGCUCUUUUAGAGUAGGGACCCCACCUCGGAUAGCUUUUCUAUAAUCCUGCAAAGCCCACAUGCUGCCUUCCACGCAGACGUUCAGUACAGGAACUGGGCGGUUCUGAAGCUCAGCCACCGUGGGCUGCCCCUACAGGCUCGCUCCGUCCGCUCGUGCAGUCUCAGGUCACCAUUGUUUGGGGGAAAAGUAACAGGAACCUCAGGGACAGUCCCCAGAGAGCCCCCAGCACAACUGCUCUUAGUGGGUCUCCAGUCAUUCUGCUCAACUCAGUCACUCAUCCACCCACUUAAAGAUCAUUUAUCGAGAACGAUGCUCCAGCAACUGGGAAAGGUAAGGCGGUCCCUGCCGGGCAGGACGUCCCAGUCCAGCGGGAGCCAGGAAAGAAGAGCCCUGCAUGCGGAACUAGAGGAGCUACAGGAGCGCUCCGGGGACCUCAGGAAAAGCUGUCGCCACUACACACAGUCGCUGAUGGGAAGGCUCUGCUCAAGCCGGUACCCAAGCCCAGUCAGAUCGCCCCUCCCAAGAUCUCAGGACGCGGAGUGGAGCAGCGAGGUCUGAAGGAGUAAAGAGAGUGGAGAGAGGAGCAGAAGGCGGUGUCGCUACGGCAGCUGUAAGGUCUUCUGCAGGGACCUCCUGAGCGGCAGAACUGCUAGGGACAUACUGUGGCCACUUGCUCUAAGCUUAGCAAUAUGGAAAAACGGUGGGGAUGCAUAAAUGCCCCACUUCCAACUCAUCAUUAUAAUAACGUAUUUUCUCCUGCUCGUUUUUCACCAAAAAUUCAUCUGGAAAAAAUAGUCACUGGAAAUAUUUCAAAAAGCUUUCUGUUUUCAAAAGGAAAACCUAUGUGAGGAGACAGAGAGGACCCUCAUCAUUUGUGGAUGCUACAUAUGCAAAUCCCCCGACUCACUGAAAUGUGUUUGUAACGCCCACAUCAGUCCUUAGGCCGCUGUCAUGGUCAUUCACAAAGAAGAGGAAAUUUAAGUUGUCCAAGGCAUGUGCUCCCGGCGCAGGAGACUUUCUGCCUUGUUUCAUCUCUCACCCUCUAAACAAAUGUCCUUUCCACGGUCUAUUUGGGGCAACACUUCUCUGAGUCUUCUGUUUUUGUUGGUGGUUUUGCGGUUUAAAAAGGCCCCCAAAAGUGGCCUGUCGCAAGUGAUGUCCACUGCUCCUGAGAGCAGGAAGGUGGCGACGGGCCUGAUGGAGCCAGUAUGUGCGUUGGUGACCCUCCUUCAGGCGUGAGAUGUAGUGCUGGGGGCUAGGAGUUCAACAGGAGCAAAUCAGUAACACGAAUUAAAAAGGAGUCUUUAAACAGAAACACACACAAUGUAAGAGUACAAAUUGAUCCCUUGACAAAAAUGUUGUGACCAGAACUCACAGAAACUGAAAGUCCUCAUAAGGAGAGGGAAAUCUGGGCACACGCACCCACACAGAACACGUGAAGACAGAGGCUGGAGUGAGGCAGCCGCAAGCCAAGGGAGGCCUGGAGCCCCCGGAAGCUGGGAGAGGCGAGGACGGAUCCACCCUAGAGGCCGCGGAGGGAGACUAGCCCUACGAAUACUUUGGCCUCCAGAACUGUUUACAUUACCUUAUGUUGGUCCUGUGGUCAACAGUAUCAAAAGCGUUGCAGUAGGCUAACUGCUGCCCAGGAACCCAACCUUGAGUGAUGGAGCAGGAUUGCUGUAAAUGACCACCCUUGAUAUAUCAUCACCCAUAUUUAUACUUUGCUGUAUUUUUUCUAUUCACUUUUACCAGCAUCCCAAAACUGCCUGCACAGGGUUCUUACCUGGGGAAUUAAAAGAAAAAGUCUCUGGCCGCACCCUAGUUCUACUGAAUAAGAAUCUCCAGGGCUUAGGAACCAGGAACCUGUUUUACUACCCUAGAGCAAUUUUGAUAUGCAGCUAAAUGUGGGCAUCGCUGCCAUUCCAUACCCACUAGCCCAAUGGCCCCAGAUCCUGUAUGUUUAAUAAACACCUCCCAUUGAUCUUGGAAAAACGAGGAGCUCAGUGUGAAGAGAUUUAGUCAUAAAUGGAAUAUAAGUACAUGUGAAAUUAGUGUUCUAAAAUGCCCUUCAAUUACCACGGAGCAAGUUUCCCAUGCAGAGAGUCAUCCAAAUUAGAGUUUUGUAUAUUCACCAUCCUACCCACAAUUUUCUUACUAGGCAUGUUUUCUAUAUCCUUCUAGAAGGUAGUACCGUAAGUUCUUUACAGAAAUUUCCCUAUCUCUGACCACAAACUACUGGGGUACCUGAAACAGUGUGAUUUAGCCUCUGACAGCAACCUGCACUGUGUCAUCAGACUCUAAGCAGACAGAGAAACUGGCUUAAGGCCUCCAUGUGUGUGCUCGAAAGACACCAAGAUAUAUUGCUGGGUUUCAAUACUGCAGGUGACCCAACGGUCAUUCUAGGAAACAGUUCUCCAUGCAGCCUAAAGAGAACAGGAGUUCUCCAUGCAGGCAGUUACCCCUGAAGGUAUAUGGAUCGUGCUCUGUCUAUGCCAAUGUGCACUCUUCUGAGAGAGGGUCCGGGACCAGACAGUCCAUCCCUGCGCAAUGAGCUCCACCUCCCCACGCCAUGUCCCUGCAGGGCCCAGCCUCUGCUCCGUUCUCCUCCCAACACAGCUGCCCUACCACUUCUCCAUCCACAUGGGUCUCACUGCCUCCCUCUUCUUUGCUCAUGUGAAAAAUUCAUGAAUGGGCUGAAUGCCACCCACGUAACUGUGAUGCCAGGGUGGGCUUACCUACCAUCUCCCCUGGGCCCCCAAGUCUCUGCAGGUCAUUUUUUGCCCCUCCCUCAUCAGCUCCUGGUCCGCACAGGAGCAGUCAGAUCUUUCCACCCUCACAUUCCUUGUAAUUCACCUCUGUGCUCAUCGAUCCCAGCAGGCGAUCUGGCCUCCAAGAUCAGAGAAACACAGAGGCCACCAGGCUCUUCUUUCUAAAUUUCUGACCCCUUUCCCUCUCAAACUGAUCUGAACUUUUGUGACCUCCUUUUGUCCUUCUUCAGGCCAGGCAGGUGGUAACGCCACUCUCUGCACCAGGGAAUGUGGAGGGUUUAAGUGGAGAAAUACUGAGAUUGGUUUAGGGUCUGGUGAAUUCACGAUAUCUUUGGAAUAUCCAAAAAAAGCUGUUGGGUGGGCAAUUAGAAAUAAAAGGCUAGAGCCAGAAGAAAGGUCUGGAAAUAGCCAACGAGCCCUUUACGGAUCGUUCAAAU